UACGUAGGGACCAAGCGUUGUUCGGAUUUACUGGGCGUAAAGGGCGCGUAGGCGGCUUAACAAGUCACUUGUGAAAUCUCCGGGCUUAACUCGGAACGGCCAAGUGAAACUGUCAAGCUAGAGUGCAGAAGGGGCAAUCGGAAUUCUUGGUGUAGCGGUGAAAUGCGUAGAUAUCAAGAGGAACACCUGAGGUGAAGACGGGUGCUGGGCUGACACUGACGCUGAGGCGCGAAAGCCAGGGGAGCAAACGGG
rnacentral:rRNA from 1 species